UGGGGAAUAUUGGACAAUGGGCGCAAGCCUGAUCCAGCAAUACCGCGUGUGUGAAGAAGGCCCUAGGGUUGUAAAGCACUUUCAAUGGGGAGGAAAACCUGCCGGCCAAUACCCUGUAGCUUGACAUUACCCAUAGAAGAAGCACCGGCUAACUCCGUGCCAGCAGCCGCGGUAAUACGGAGGGUGCGAGCGUUAAUCGGAAUUACUGGGCGUAAAGCGUGCGUAGGCGGUUCGUUAAGUCAGAUGUGAAGGCCCCGGGCUCAACCCGGGAACUGCAUUUGAAACUGGCGAACUAGAGUUGAGUAGAGGGGAGUGGAAUUUCAGGUGUAGCGGUGGAAUGCGUAGAUAUCUGAAGGAACACCAGUGGCGAAGGCGACUCCCUGGACUCAAACUGACGCUGAGGUACGAAAGCGUGGGUAGCAAACAGG
rnacentral:rRNA from 1 species